rnacentral:rRNA from 1 species
UACGAAGGGGGCUAGCGUUGCUCGGAAUUACUGGGCGUAAAGCGCACGUAGGCGGAUUUGUAAGUCAGGGGUGAAAUCCCGGGGCUCAACCUCGGAACUGCCUUUGAUACUGCAAAUCUCGAGUCCGAUAGAGGUGGGUGGAAUUCCUAGUGUAGAGGUGAAAUUCGUAGAUAUUAGGAAGAACACCAGUGGCGAAGGCGGCUCACUGGCCCGGUACUGACGCUGAUGUGCGAAAGCGUGGGGAGCAAACAGG